rnacentral:rRNA from 1 species
AGCAAUGCACCAGCGGCGGAAGGGUGAGUAAGGCGACGGCAACCAACCCCGAGGAUGGGUAUAGCCGCGGGAAACUGCGGGUAAUCCCCAGCGAUGCGAGGGCGUCGGCAUCGACGCUUCGCCAAAUGGAUUCGUCCGCCUCGGGACGGGCCGUCGUGGUAUUAGGUCGUUGGCGGGGUAGCGGCCCACCAAGCCUUCGAUGCCUACCGGGCGUGCGAGCGCGGCCCGGCACACUGGGACUGAGACACUGCCCAGACUCCUACGGGAGGCUGCAGUCGAGAAUCUUCGGCAAUGGGCGCAAGCCUGACCGAGCGACGCCGCGUGGAGGACGAAGGCCUUCGGGUUGUAAACUCCUGUCGAGGGGGAGAAAGGCUCCGCGAGGGGCUUGAUCGAUCCCUGGAGGAAGCACGGGCUAAGUUCGUGCCAGCAGCCGCGGUAAGACGAACCGUGCGAACGUUAUUCGGAAUCACUGGGCUUAAAGCGCGUGUAGGCGGAUCGGAACGUCGAUGCCUGAAAUCCCCCGGCUCAACCGGGGAACGUGGCCCGAAACGACCGGUCUCGAGGGGUGUAGGGGGGACUGGAACUUCCGGUGGAGCGGUGAAAUGCGUUGAGAUCGGAAGGAACGCCCGUGGCGAAAGCGAGUCCCUGGACGCCUGCUGUCGCUGAGACGCGAAAGCUAGGGGAGCGAACGGGAUUAGAUACCCCGGCAGUCCUAGCCGUAAACGAUGAGCACUGGGUAGGGGGUCCGCCCAUGGACUCCCUGCCGCAGGG